rnacentral:rRNA from 1 species
GUUAGCGGCGGACGGGUGAGUAACACGUGGGUAACCUGCCUGUAAGACUGGGAUAACUCCGGGAAACCGGGGCUAAUACCGGAUGGUUGUUUGAACCGCAUGGUUCAAACAUAAAAGGUGGCUUCGGCUACCACUUACAGAUGGACCCGCGGCGCAUUAGCUAGUUGGUGAGGUAACGGCUCACCAAGGCGACGAUGCGUAGCCGACCUGAGAGGGUGAUCGGCCACACUGGGACUGAGACACGGCCCAGACUCCUACGGGAGGCAGCAGUAGGGAAUCUUCCGC